GAAUUCUGUAAAAGUACACUGUUGCUGUACUGUUUAGUAAAUGUCUCAGCAAAAUGCGGAACUUAUCAGCAGCUUCUCACACUGGGUCUGAAAUGACUAGCUUAAAACUAAUAUGGCACUUCAACCCAUUCUCAGAUCCCACACUUAGGCACUGUGUCACUGAGUUCUUCAGUCCAAAGGAGGCCUGCUAAGUUUAAAAAAUCAAGAGUCCUAAUAUACAAGGUUUCAAAUCAUGUUUGGCUUAUAUUUAUAGGGAAAGCCCUGCACCCAAAACUGACUGUCUUUACACUUCACAAAAAGUGUUCAAGUAAAAACUUCCAAACUUGGUAAAAGAUCACUCUUCAUAACUAAAGACAGUUCAUGUGCUAUGACCUCCCGAUCUGCACAUGGCACAAUC
rnacentral:lncRNA from 1 species